GCAUCGCUCUACACAGCAGCACAAGUCAGUAUCGAUCGCAACUUCUUUAGCACGAUUGGUCUUAAUGUGAGACCAGAUAGAGACAGAAAAGUUUGAGUGAGAAAAUAAAGAGAUGGAGAUGGAUGACAUGAUGAAGAAAGUCAACCAAAAUGUGUAAUCCUGGGGAAGAGGCUGAUUCAGCACCUUGGACAGCAGCUAUGGCCUUGCAUGAUUCUUCUUCCUCUACUUCAACAUGAGCCAUUAUCCUUGGCAGCUGGUGUGAGCUGCAGCCACUUACGGACCCAGAAAAGAGCGCUUCCAGUUUUCCCAGCCUUCAUGGCCUUUGACACAUCCUUUAUUAAAUCCCUUUGAGCAUUUAAAACGCGGACCUGAAUGCAGAGCUGGAGGACCGACCUGAGAAUGCAAUAAACCUGCGAGGACUGCUCCUUUCUUUUUUGGAACGGCUGCAUGCUUGGAAAUGAAUCCAGGAGCAAAGGCAAGAUGUGAAAUAUUUAUUUUCUGCACAAACUGUGCAUCACUGGGCCUAACCUGUGAAACUGCUGCAACGGAAAAGUUUGCAGAUCCAAUGGGGAGUUUGUGUGGUCCCCCUGGGACCAGACCCCAGUAGCUUGGGGUUUGUGCUGGAUGAAUGGGAGUUACUACAGCUAACAGCUUACUGAAGGUCCAUGUCCUGGACUCCUGGCCAUCCAGUCCCCUGGAGGCAGGGAGGACUAAACAAACAUACAAGUGGUUUUCUCGUUUCUGUCACUUUAGA